GAUGAACGCUGGCGGCGUGCCUAAUACAUGCAAGUCGAGCGAACAGACGAGGAGCUUGCUCCUCUGACGUUAGCGGCGGACGGGUGAGUAACACGUGUAUAACCUACCUAUAAGACUGGGAUAACUUCGGGAAACCUGAGCUAAUACCGGAUAAUAUAUUGAACCGCAUGGUUCAAUAGUGAAAGACGGUUUUGCUGUCACUUAUAGAUGGAUCCGCGCCGCAUUAGCUAGUUGGUAAGGUAACGGCUUACCAAGGCAACGAUGCGUAGCCGACCUGAGAGGGUGAUCGGCCACACUGGAACUGAGACACGGUCCAGACUCCUACGGGAGGCAGCAGUAGGGAAUCUUCCGCAAUGGGCGAAAGCCUGACGGAGCAACGCCGCGUGAGUGAUGAAGGUCUUCGGAUCGUAAAACUCUGUUAUUAGGGAAGAACAAAUGUGUAAGUAACUCUGCCCGUCUUGACGGUACCUAAUCAGAAAGCCACGGCUAACUACGUG
rnacentral:rRNA from 1 species